UGAAACUUUUGUAAUACCACACCAAAUAUGCAUAUUUACAGUUACAACAGUUGCAGAUCUUAUUAGCGCUUUAAAAGGGACAAUCAUAUAUGAGCAAAGCAUCUAUGUACAUUAGAGGACAUUAUAAACAUAGUGAAAAAAAUAUAAAAGGUAAUGAAUAAAUUUUUUUGCUAAUUGAGGAAAGAAAUACCUUAAGAAAGAGCUUCUUGAUAAACAAUAUUUUUUGUGCUGCCAUUAGGUGCGAGAAUAAAAAGAUUAUUGGAGGAACUAACGCGUGAGCAGGCAACAUAAAGCUGGCCAUGGGAAAAACAUGGAACCUGAAGAUCAAUUCCAGCCCAUUUCAAUGUUUGACCUUGUGCUUUGUUAAUUGUCAUUGCAAAGCACAACUUAACAGGAAAUUGAAGUCUUUUAAAAUGAAAGGGCAAAUCUGAAGAUAUAAUGGGAAUCCUAGGAAUCAUAACCUUCUCACCAGUGCCGCAUCCAGUCAAAAUAGUCGCCUCCAGCAGAUAUCUGUGUAAGCUGUUAACUUGCAACCGAAUACCAUUACACAAUUUUGGGGGAUUAAGAUUUCUUAACAAUAUAAUCGGGGCGCCAACCUUUAGGGUAAGACUGUGCACAGGCAUUCCAGGCGGAUUGAUUGAAUUUAAAAAUUCAAUGGGAUAAUGCACAGAAUCAUUCGGAUCUACAACAGUGUCUAUUGACAAAUAAGUUCCUGAAGGAGCGAUAAAUUUACCGAGGAUAUAUUCAUUUAUCUUGUCCACAGCAUCAUUUCUUGGUGCUAAUAAAGCCCUUUCACUGAACCAAGAAAGUGGCAUGGUAAGUAAAGAGCCUAUAUUGGGGUAAACAGAUGAUAUUAAGGUAUGGCUAUCUUCAACCAAGACACAAAGAUCACUUGAUGCAAUGGAGAUGAGUCCCUCGUGAGUUGCAAAUGUCCCAUUGCCCAGUUCAAGCAACAGCUGAGAGAAGCUGCUUCCUCUGUCGCCAAAGAGAUGUGACCGCAUAUUGAUAGUGAGAGAUAACUUAACAAUACUACUCCAAAUAUGAGAGCGUUUAAGGCAUGCAUUAACCUCGUCUGCUCGAGUGCCUUUGGGAAUAACCGGUAAAGUUUGUCGGAAGUCCCCAACAAAAAGAAAUGUCACCCCUCCCAUUAUGCUGUUGUGAUCCCUAAGAUCUCUAAGAGUGCGAUCAAGGGCUUCGAUUGAGCGUCUAUUAGCCAUUGUGCAUUCAUCCCAUAUAAAUAAUUAGCUUUGCUGUAGAAUUUUGGAAGUGGCGCUCUGUUUAGCAAUGUUACAGACUGCUAAUUCAUCAUCAUAGAGAUUCAAAGGUAGCUUAAAUAGAGAAUGUGCUGUUCUGCCGCCAUCAAGGAGUGUAGCGGCGAUUCCAGAAGAAGCAGCAGCACAAACUACUAAACCCUCUAAGCGCAAUUUGGCUAACAAAAGAUUAAUAAUAAAAGUUUUUCCAGUGCCACCAGGAGCAUCAAAAAAAGAAUCGUGCCAGCCCUAGAGCGAACACUAUUAAGAAUGGCCUCAUAACAAUAUUUCUGAUCAGUAUUUAAAGAAGAUUCGCGGGUUGAAGCCAAAGUUUCUAGUUCACGCCUAUCAUAUAUGUCUGAUAAAAAUGAUGCCUCUCUUGGUGGUGAUACAUUUUCAGGAAGAGGCAAACCCAUACAUGCAAUACUUUUACCUGAAAUUGACAGAACAUGUUUUUCAAUUUCCAGUAACGCAGCAUUGAAAACAUCAGCAUUGUAAUCAAGUUCAGGGAUGGACAUAUCUCGUCGCAUUCGGUGCAAAAUAUCUUCAGACAUACACUCCUUAUGAGCAUGCCACAGCGUAAGUGUAUCAGACAUGUGGCAGAAGAUGAGCAUUGUAGAGAACAAUGCUCUCACCGAUGCUGCAUUACGACAUAUAGAUGCCUCUUUGAGAGUUUCAUUCCAGUGAGAGUCGUCUUCUAGUAAGCCUAAAGCUUUGCAGGCCAUUUGGAAGGUAGUGUGGAUAACUCCUUCAACUGUGCGCAAACUCUGGAAAGAACAUGGCCCUCUAAUAUGGAACAAAAGAAGUCUCAAAUAGUAGCAUUCAGCAUUAGUUGGGUGAACUGUAUAGACGCGGCCAAGAACAUCACUUUUCCGCACACCAGGAUAACCUUCUACAGGAGUACCCUGCUUCCUGCCUAAAUAUUUAUUGUUGGUCCAGGUAUAGAAAGAAGGAACUUCACAGUAUAAUAGUGUCCUAGCAAAUGUGUCUUGGUUACAAAGCUUAAAAAAUGCUGUCAGAGUUGUAUCUCUUGGAUUUGAAAUAACAUUUUCUGCAUUUGCAGUAGUGAAAUAGACCCUCUGUCCAUUUUCAAGGUGAACAGCUAAGUGUACAAUUGGAGGUGAUCUUUCAUGGAUGCUGAAACCCAGAAUCCUCCAAACAGCUUCUGCGGAACUUAUAUAGCGGCCAGACUGAAAUUGGGUAACCUCAUCAAGGUGAUUCAAAGAGAAAACUGCCUGAUCAGUUCCCUUAUUAAUGUAUUUGCACACGUAUUUGAUGGCCUUUACGGAGCUGCAGUAUUCCACAUUUAUAUGGGAAUCAAAAGCACGAAGGAGAACAGAAUUAUAGGGCACAAUCCAGCGAUUGUCAAUUUCAAAAGUAACUCCUCGCAUAUUCACCGAUGAAGUAAGACCACCUUCAGCAGAGCACCGUCUUCGGUAUCGGGGAUAACCAUCUUCUGUUGUCGAAGUUGUCUCACAAAAACCUUUAGGAUAUUUUUUGCUACAUUUCCCAUCCUUCAUACAUGGAGAAUUUGUAUUCAGAACCCCACAUGGACCAUGAACCAUUUGUUUAAUGACAAUUGCAUGAAGCUCUGGGUCUAAGUUAAUAUCCGGAAUCUCGGCUUGUAUGACCUCAUCAAUUUUAUUAGGUCUAAUUAUGUUUGUAACCCAAAGCAGUAAAUGCGCAUGUGGUAGACCACGCUUCUGCCACUCUAUUGUGAACAUAAAACACUUGCAAGGCCCAAAUAGCUCAGCCUUAGUCACUAAAUAGAUAAGCUUUUUCAUUUUAAGGUGAAAAACACGACUAAUCAAAUCAUAUCUAUCUUUAGCAGAGUUAUUUGAAAAUGAAUGCAUAUGAAUUUCUUUCCAUUGAGGGUUGCAUGUAAAUGUUAUAAAAAGCUGAGGCCUUCCAUAGCUACGAACAUAAGUCAUUGCAUCUUGGGUCCGCUCAUGCAGAUAACGGGGACCACCAGCAAAAGAUGAUGGCAGUAUGACUAUUUGGCCUAUAUUGGCUAAAUUCUCAUCUGCUCGCAGAGCAUCUUGCAGGUGAAUAUAAUUUUCUGUCCGAAGCUUUUUCUGAUUGCGCCGUAUGAAGGAAAGCCUUUCUGAUUCAACCUUAGCAUACAUAUCAACCCAGAAUUGAUUUGUAAGCAUGCCAUAACGCAGUAGCGAGUUAAAUUCCCCAGCACGAGCCAUCAUUCUGUAAGCAUAAAAAUUCAUGCACGAUACAGUCUUCUGCAUAAUUUCUCUAGUGGAUGGAUUGACUUGAGGUAGCGAAACAGAAUAACCGACCUCACCCCUGCAAAAAAUUAACGGGUAUUGUAGAGGGUCAUAUGCUUGAUGGAUCUCGGAUAUUCUUUGUGUCAAAUUAUUACGACAAUGUAAUACAAUAUCUCUUGGCCCAAAUUCCUGACCUACCAUCAGCAGAGCUACUUCAUUGGUCAUGGGUGCAUUGUAGCGACGCUCAUGCUCUUCUGGUGGAAGCUUAUCAGAGUGUAUAAUAACCCGGUAGUCAGCGUGAUUUUGAGGAAGAGUUUCUAAGGCUGCUUUAAUGGAUUGAAUAUAAUGAUUGUGCGCAUGCAAUAAAUCUUGCAAAGAGCGAACUAAAUCUCUGUUCAAGUUUGCUGUAAUGUUGCAACGUGCAGUAACCUGAGACUCAUAAUUAUCGAUAAAGUAUAUCUGCAGGAAUUUGUGCUCACUAUCAGGUUCUGGAAGGAGACUACCAAUUACGUGGUAAACCUGGCCUUGGACUUUGAAAGUAGGCAUAUAACCUUGCUCCACAACUUGUCUAGCACCAAAAGAUGUCAUUUGGAAUAUAGAGUUAUAUCUACGGAUAUGCAGCAAGAAGGACUUCGAUAGAGGAUGUAGGCCAGAGAGCAAAGAGAAAAUAGGUUCUGGAGGGGACUCAAUAGCAGGUAGAGAAACUCUACCUUGUUUACAACAGAGGCCUAAGGGUUCAUCUUUAAAUCUCAAAGCAGAGCAAAACUGGCAUACCCGAGACAUUUGGCCUAUAUCGACAGAUGAAUCAGCUUUAUAAUCAAUAUGGGCAUUAUACUGCAAACCUGAAAACGGCUUAUGAGUCCAAAGCUGAAUACGCUGAACAGGAACUUGCAUAGUUUGUGUAGCUGUGACGCGGGCUUCAGAAGACCUAAGACGGCGAAGCUCACGACGCGUCUCACGUUGAAGUGGUGUCUCAAUAGCUCUAGCAUUCCUAUAUCUCCUGGAAGCAGCCGUAUUCCUACCAAUUAAAGGUCGGCAGCGGCGAGGCAUAUUCUGAAAAAAAAAAGAUAGAGAUUAAUAACAAAAGCUUAAAAACCAGCAAUUUAUAAACAAAGCAUAAAAAUUCCCUGUCUUUUUGAGGUAAAAAUCAAAAUUCUUAAAUUUUUUCUUCAAAAUCACCUUCCAGAAAUGUUAAAAAGAUUAUAAAAAACUAAAAGCAUUAUAUUAAAAAUAAAAAAGUAAUGUACAAAACCAGUUAUCACUAAAAAGCCUCAAAAAUAGACCAACCGCCGGACACGGCAAUGAAAAAGCAUGUUUUUUUUAGGAAAAUAUAGAAAUAAUUCUCUAAAAUACAAAAUACAACCCCUAUAUAUAUAUAUAUAUAUAUAUAUAUAUAUAUAUAUAUAUGGUAAAAAAACUACAAAUAAUCUAAAUAUAAAAUAUUUGAUCAAAUAAAUUAAAAUAUCUUUAAUAAAAUUUAGAAAAAUGACCUCAAAAAGACAAAUAAAUGAAUCCGUUAAAGAAAUCCCUCGCUUAUUUAAAAAUAUAAAUAAUCUAUUUUUUAGAUACAACCCAUAUAUGUAGAAAAUAUAAUAAAUAAACUGUAUUUAAAAGAUAAAAGGAAUAAUU